AUCAGAUAUAUAUAACUGAGACUUAUAUUAUUAUAUUAAAUUUAUAAAGUACAUAUACAGUCAAAUAAUCCUUACAGACGAGUAAUGUCUCUGUUUUAUUCGUAUUUCACAAGGAACUAAAACUUACAAAUAAAUUCUUAGUUAAAUAAUCUUCAUAGACGAGAGAUAUUUCUACACUAUUCGUAUUUCAUAAAAAAAAAUACUAACAAUUAUAAAUAAUAUUUAAUUAAAAAAAUUUUGAGUUUAUGAGAACUCUUAUGAUUCCAAUCAUUCUGAAGUGUAAAAGUAAAGAUUCACCACUCGGUUAAUGGUCCAUUGACUAAUUUAAAACUUUUUAGACGGUCAAUAUUAGUGCUGUUCCGUUCAUCGCCCAUUUUUCAUCUCUAAGUACGACAAGGUUUAGUGGGCCCCCGGUCCCCGUUUGACCAUGCUUUACUGUUUUCUUUCUGAACGGUCAAUACACGAACGCCACAGAUCAUAAAACAAUCAGUAACACAAUCAAAGAUGUUUUUUACGCGUUUUUGUAUUUUUGAAAACGAAAUGUUAUUUUUAUUAACAUAAAGAAACGACAAACAUGUUAAAAAAAAAGAAGCCACAAACCGACGAGGACCUAGUAAAUUAGUACACGGAUGCACACUUUCCCACUCCCAUACGACUUUACAAAGCCUAAUUUAAAGAGCUUAAAUAUUUUACAAAUUUGAUUUCUCAUAUCAAGAUAGAUAUUUCAUGGUACAAUAAGCAUAGACUCCGGGUGACUUUAAUAAUAGGUGAAUAAGAUGAUUGUUUAAGA
rnacentral:lncRNA from 1 species